UCAUUUGUGCAGCUGUGGAUGGGUGUGGAACGGAUGUGCCGCGGCACCAGGGCCCAGAGAGGGCUAAUUAAUUGGACGUCCAGGGAGGGAGGCACUUGCGUUUCUGUUCUUUGAUUUAGGACUUCAAAUAGGAGAAAGGGCCUGCCUGGCGUCCCAUAGGCAGCCUGAACCAUCAGUGCCAGCAAGAAGUGAAAUCUGCCUCCCCGCCCCCCACCGCGCAUGAACUAGGAACUCACACCUGUAAUCCCAGUACUCAAGAGGCUGAGGAAAGAGGACUGUUGUGAGCUCAGUGCAAACUUGAACUGCGAAGAGAGAAGAAAAAAAAAAGGAAAGAAGGAAGGAAGGAACAAAUUCUCUAAUGCCUAAAAUAAGUACAGUUUCUUGUUCUCUUCUGGAAACCUAAUACCAAUAAAACAAUUACCCUUAGCCAGGCACCAUGCCACGUGCCUAUCAUCCCAGGUUCUGGAAAGCUGAGGCAGGAGGAUCUCAAAUUCAAGCCUAGCCCAAGCAACUUGGCAAGACAGUGUCUCCAAAAAGAGACACAUACAUAUAUACACAUGUACACACAACUACGCAGUGUGUAUAAUAUGUACGUAUAUCCAUGAGGAGCUGAGGAUAUAGCUCAGUAUGACUGCCCAGUAAU